rnacentral:rRNA from 1 species
GACGAACGCUGGCGGCGUGCUUAACACAUGCAAGUCGAGCGGUAAGGCCUCUUCGGGGGUACACGAGCGGCGAACGGGUGAGUAACACGUGGGUGACCUGCCCUCAGCUCUGGGAUAAGC